CCUACGGGUGGCAGCAGUGGGGAAUAUUGGGCAAUGGACGCAAGCCUGAUCCAGCAACGCCGCGUGAAGGAAGAAGGCUUUCGGGUUGUAAACUCCUUUUAAUGGGGAAGAACAGAAGAAGGUACCACUUGAAUAAGCAACCGCUAACUAAGUGCGAGCAGCCGAGGUAAUACGUAGGUUGCAAGCGUUGUCCGGAUUUACUGGGGGGAAAGGGCGGGCAGGCGGGCCGACAAGUCAGAUGUGAAAUCCGGGGGCUUAACCCGCGAACUGCAUUUGAAACUGUUAGUCUAGAGUACCGGAGAGGUAGUCGGAAUGCCUGGUGUAGCGGUGAAAUGCGUAGAUAUCAGGAGGAACACUAGUGGCGAAGGCGGAUGACUGGACGGCAACUGACGGUGAGGCGCGAAAGCGUGGGGAGCGAACAGGAUUAGAUACCCCUGUAGUC
rnacentral:rRNA from 1 species